UACAGAGGGGGCAAGCGUUAUUCGGAAUUAUUGGGCGUAAAGGGCGCGUAGGCGGCCUGGCAAGUGGAAGGUGAAAUCCCUCGGCUUAACCGAGGAACUGCCCUCCAAACUGCUUGGCUUGAGACCGGGAGAGGUGAGUGGAACUGCGAGUGUAGAGGUGAAAUUCGUAGAUAUUCGCAAGAACACCAGUGGCGAAGGCGGCUCACUGGCCCGGUACUGACGCUGAGGUGCGAAAGCGUGGGGAGCAAACAGG
rnacentral:rRNA from 1 species